UCUGUCCCUACAUGAGGCUCUUCAGAUCCCUGGUGUGCAUGCACGUGGAGCUGAGAGGGUCAGGGGAACAGCAACCAGGCUGGGGAAGCCCUGAG